rnacentral:rRNA from 1 species
AACGAACGCUGGCGGCAUGCCUAACACAUGCAAGUCGAACGAGACCUUCGGGUCUAGUGGCGCACGGGUGCGUAACGCGUGGGAACCUGCCCUUAGGUUCGGAAUAACUCCCCGAAAGGGGUGCUAAUACCGGAUAAUGUCUUCGGACCAAAGAUUUAUCGCCUUUGGAUGGGCCCGCGUUGGAUUAGCUAGUUGGUAGGGUAAAAGCCUACCAAGGCGACGAUCCAUAGCUGGUCUGAGAGGAUGAUCAGCCACACUGGGACUGAGACACGGCCCAGACUCCUACGGGAGGCAGCAGUGGGGAAUAUUGGACAAGGGGCGAAAGCCUGAUCCAGCAAUGCCGCGUGAGCGAUGAAGGCUUUAGGGUUGUAAAGCUCUUUUACCCGGGAUGAUAAUGACAGUACCGGGAGAAUAAGCUCCGGCUAACUCCG